GGGUAGCUCAGUCAGUAGAGCAUGAGAUUCUUAAUCUCAGGGUCAUGAAUUUGAGCCCCACGUUGGGCA